AGCCUAAACCUUUAGCAAUAAAGGCAUGGUGAACAAGUCGUAUAAGGCAUAAAGAACCCAUCAGGGGGUCGCCUUAUACGCCAUGUCAGGAAACUGGCAUGAGAGACUUCGGUCUCU
rnacentral:sRNA from 12 species